GAUGAAGACGCAGCGAAAUGCGAUAAGUAAUGUGAAUUGCAGAAUUCAGUGAAUCAUCGAAUCUUUGAACGCACAUUGCGCCCGCCAGUAUUCUGGCGGGCAUGCCUGUUCGAGCGUCAUUUCAACCAUCAAGCCCCAGGCUUGUGUUGGGGACCUGCGGCUGCCGCAGGCCCUGAAAACCAGUGGCGGGCUCGCUGUCACACCGGGCGUAGUAGAUUUUAUCUCGCUCAGGGCGUGCUGCGGGUUCCGGCCGUUAAAAAGCCUUUUUUACCCAAGGUUGACCUCGGAUCAGGUAGGAAUACCCGCUGAACUUAAGCAUAUCAAUAAGCGGAGGA
rnacentral:misc_RNA from 1 species